rnacentral:rRNA from 1 species
UACGGAGGGUGCAAGCGUUGCUCGGAUUUAUUGGGCGUAAAGGGUAGGUAGGUGGUCUUAUUUGUCUAGGGUGAAAUCCUUGAGCUUAACUCGAGAAGUGCCCUAGAAACGGUAAGACUAGAGUCCUGGAGAGGGUCGUGGAAUUCCAGGUGUAGCGGUGAAAUGCGUAGAUAUCUGGAGGAACACCGGUGGUGUAAACGGCUUUCUGGACCAUUACUGACGCUGAUGCACGAAGGCGUGGGUAGCAAACAGG